GACGAACGCUGGCGGCGUGCCUAAUACAUGCAAGUAGAACGCACAGUUUAUACCGUAGCUUGCUACACCAUAGACUGUGAGUUGCGAACGGGUGAGUAACGCGUAGGUAACCUGCCUGGUAGCGGGGGAUAACUAUUGGAAACGAUAGCUAAUACCGCAUAAUAUUAAUUAUUGCAUGAUAAUUAAUUGAAAGGUGCAAUUGCACCACUACCAGAUGGACCUGCGUUGUAUUAGCUAGUAGGUGAGGUAACGGCUCACCUAGGCGACGAUACAUAGCCGACCUGAGAGGAUGAUCGGCCACACUGGGACUGAGACACGGCCCAGACUCCUACGGGAGGCAGCAGUAGGGAAUCUUCGGCAAUGGACGAAAGUCUGACCGAGCAACGCCGCGUGAGUGAAGAAGGUUUUCGGAUCGUAAAGCUCUGUUGUAAGAGAAGAACGGGUGUGAGAGUGGAAAGUUCACACUGUGACGGUAUCUUACCAGAAAGGGACGGCUAACUACGUG
rnacentral:rRNA from 1 species